GAUCCACUCCCACCCCACCACUCUCUCUCUCUCUCAUCCCUAAAAAAACUCUCUCACGAAUUCACUUGUUCCUCGGUCCACCCCACCCCGGCUCCUCUCCCCACGAUCUCCUCGCCGCCGCCACCACCCACGUCGGCCGGUUCCGGCGAGCACCGGCCGCGCACAACACUCCCCCAAGCUCCGCCCAUCCCUCCUCUCCGUCCAGAUCCGACAUAGCCGUAGUUCCUACAGGGCCACCCUCUUCUCCACCGUGCUCUCGCACCACUUCAUCCUGCUCCCCUCCUUCGCCAGGCCCGCCGCCGCCUCCUCCUUCACCUGCAGCCUGCUGCACGCUGUGUCGGCGCUGCUGGUGCCGCGGAGGCGACUCCUGCUGCCCGUGGCCGUGGCCGUGUCGUCCGAGUUCGUGACGGAGGACGCCGAGGGAGAGCAGAGCGAGGGCGAGGGCGGAGGCGACUCCGAGGCCGAGUACUCUGAGGACCUCAAGGUCUUUGUCGGCAACCUGCCCUUCACUGUCGACAGCGCGCAGCUCGCCGGGCUCUUCGAGCAGGACGGCUCCGUCGAGAUGGUCGAGAAUGAAGAUUUUUGAAAUGAAGAGAGAUGGAGUCUAUGGCAUUGGCUUCAUUGACCCAAAUACCAUUUAUGAAAAUGUAUUAAAAGAAAAUGAAGAAGACACAGAGGACAACUUGCUAAGGUUUUUGAAGGAACUAAAAGCCAAACCAGAAAUAUUAUUUCCUUACAACUUCAAUUUUCACUGGAUCCUGCUAAUCAUUAGAAUUGACGAGGGAAAAGUUGAAGUACUGGACUCACUAGGUAAAGACCCUAAAGAAUACUACAACCUGUAUUUGAUGCUCGAUAGGGUUUGAAAAAAGUUCACCCAAGAGAUAGUCGGUGUAUGGGCACCAAAGCUGAAAUGGGUGCAAUCCAAGGCAAUUAACUAGUACUAGCUACGUCCACGCGUCUAUUUAAUUCUAGUUUCAAUACCAUUUUUUCUGAUUGAAUUCUAUUCUCGUAAAGUGCAUGAGGCAGGAAAAGGGGAAUAAUUUGUGUGCAUACUACGUUUGCGAGAACAUUCGCAAUAUGAAGUCCGAAAGGACCACCUCUGCAGGAUAAUUUUGGACGAUGAAGAUGUGGGAUAAGCUCAUACCAAAGGACCGCAUACAAGCACUUCAAGAGGAAAUGGCGGGAUUUUUGCUUGACGAGGUCAUAGCACCCGACGAAGAAUACCAUUUCACCUAAUGCCUGCAUGUAAUGAUCUGCAAAUUGUAGAAGAAAUUGUAUAUAUAUGUGUAUGCGUGGUCGUACGAGAAAUUCUAUGAUAUAUGAUUGGUUCUACGAGAAAUUCUAUUAUAUAUGCAUAACGUGUAGUAGCGUAAAUUACGUUUUAAAUGAACAAUAAUUAAAUGUAAAACACAAAAUGAAAAGAAAA